rnacentral:lncRNA from 1 species
AAGGCUCCACUGACAACCCUGCUACUGCAUUGCACUCAAAUGCUGCUCUUGUUUUAGAAUGAGAGAGGUUAAUUCUGAAGUUACAGGUGCCGGGCUCUUGAUCCCUGUGGUUUUCUAGCAGGGCUGCAUGUUCUUCUUUUAUUGAUUCCACUGAAUGAAAGUAUUCCGAGGAGGAAGCACCCAUCCCUGGUGCUCUGUGAGAACUUACUGUGUGAAUGGCAUCGUCCAGCAGAUCCUGUGUGACUCGCAUAACAUCAGAGGGCAAGGAUAUGUCUCUAAGACUGCAGGUUUCUGUCUUUAGAUGCAUUGGCUUCAGCAAAAGAGUGAGCACAGCUAGCAAGACUGGGUGCCGGGGACUAAAAUAGAUGGGAGAGCUGAGUCUCUCCCCCUCAUUUCACAGUCAGAGACACUGAGACCCACAGAGAGGGAGCGAGUUUCCCAUUUCCUUGCACUUUGCUGGCCUCUUCAUUCGUAGAAGACAAGAGCUGAUGGUAGCAGGAACCGUUGUCCCCUUGCGUGGUCCCGACUCUGAUGGAGGGUCAGGAAGACGUUGAAAAUAGGUUUCUCCCCUCGGCCUUAAACGUAAUGUUACAUAAAUCCCCAUUGGGUGCAGCAUUUUCAUAAGUUCAUAUAGAAAUCAGAUGCUAUUGGAAGAACAGGGAAGAAAAUCAUUUGCCGUUUGAACAGGAAUACUUUGGAGAAAAGAGCGAAUAGAAGCUUAUACUUCAUGUGGACAAGAGAAAGCGCGGAGGUGAUUUUCACAUGUAACAUUAAUACCAAGACCGUUAGAAACGGGGUCCUCCCUAGCAGUGUUCUGAUCUUCAUUGAAAAGAGAGAAAUAGGCUUGUAAUAGAGCAGGACGUUUUCUGUUGAGCUAUUUUAUUUUUAAAGUGGUAAUCAGAAGGACUCAGCAUAGACUUACUAGCUUCAUGCCACACUCAGCUAAUUCCAUUUUUAUAGUUACCAGAUGAGUGGAAUACUAGACAGAGAACAUUUUGAUUUCCAUAAAAUAUUUAACGGGAUGUCUUAUAACAUUCUGAAUAAAACUAUGGAAAACGCUGAGGGAGCAGCAGUUCAUUUCAGAUUCAACAAAGAGAUGUCUUUAGUGGCAGAUCAUUGAAGUCUGUGCUUGAUUCUGUCCUAGUCAUCAGCCAGGAGUUCCCAUUGUGCCACAGCAGAUUGAGGACCCAGUGUUGUCUCUGUGAGGAUGCAGGUUCGAUCCCUGGCCUCGCUCAGUGGGUUAAAGAUCCUGAGUUGCCACAAGCUACAACGUAGAUCGCAGAUGUGGCUCAGAUCUGGCAUUGCUGUGGCUGUGGUGUAGGCCAGUAGCUAUAGCUCCGACCUGACCCCUGACCUGGGAACUUCCAUAUGCCACAGGUGCAGCCCCAAAAGAAAAAAAAGCAUAGGACUGUCGUAGCUCAGUGCACAUUUGAGGGUUCGUGGUAUUCUCUAGAAAGAAAUUUUAUGCAAUUAGUGAUUCAUAGUGCUAAACCGAAAGAUUAUCCAAAGGGUCGGUAUAUGUAAAUUUAGAAAAAUCAGCACAUCCUCAGAGGUGUAGAAAACCCACCAUCCUCUGAGUUCUGGCAUGUGUUACUUUAUUCACUGAUGAGUCCUAAAGUUAUAGUAAGACAGGAUAAUUUGGAUCGACAGGAAGGAAAUGGGGGCUCUAAUGAUUAAACUCACCAAUACUUCUUCCCUAGUGCUAGAGAGCCAUAACUCCACACUUAGCUGUGUCUCUUUAUGAAAAGUAAAUGAAAAGUACUGCUGUUUCAGGCCAUGUGGGAGUGGAGUUAAAAGUUGACAGCCUAGAACCCGAAUGACGAGGUUCAGUGUGAGUGCAGCUCGCACUCACUGGAGUGGUGGGGAGGGCACUGUAUGGUUGGACCCAUUCGCCGUGCAGCUCGCACUCGCCGGAGUGGUGGGGAGGCACCGUAUGGUUGGACCCGUUCGCCGUGGUGCCAUCAGCACCAUGACGUCACCACUAGGCAGGGAAAUUCCCAGCUGCCUUAGCGCUGCCUGUGUUUUCUGAAAGCAGAAGGAACCCACUGGGGGAGACUCGGUCCUGUAGAGCCAUUCCGUGUGCCCUUCAAACCCAGUCGUGUCAACUCUAGAGAGGAAACCCAGAAUCGGUUUGAUGUUUCCCGUGGAGGGAACAUGAGGUAUCUUUUCUCUCUCUGCUGAGAGGUCCUUCCUAUUGGGAGUCCUGCUCCCUCUAAUCAGAACCGGCCUGGCCGCCUCAAUUACCCAAAGCCCAGCCAGGAGAUAACCUGGAAUCAGCGCAGGCAGGUUGGACUGGACUUGCACCACCGUCUGCUUCAGCCCCCAAGUCAGCCGUCCCCAGGCCCUGGUCACUGCCCCCUGCCCCAAGGGUGGUUGCUGGAGCGUAGAGCAGUGGACCUUCACCCCAGAGAAGCAACUCUUGCUUCGAGCCUCAGCAGUUCUGCACGUUGAGGGGCGUUUCUGCCAGGAGCUGAGGGCAGGUCCUGGGGGAGGAUGGCCGGGGCCGCAGUCCCACCCUCUCCGCUCCUGGAGGUGAUGGCAUCCUCCUGAAAAGAUGGCUCAGGGAAGGGACCACCCCCCCGCCCGGUCCCUCCCCUUUGCCUGGAGGCCAGAUGAUCUGUUCCAUCACUUGGGAGGAACCCCCAAACUCCAGAGGCCCUAGGAAAGGAAGUGUGAGUGCGGCAGUGUCCUGGACCAAGAACCAGAAGAAGGCAGCAGUGCUCCAGCCCCUCCCUGACCCACAUUUGCAAACCACGACAUUUAGAAGGUUAAGCAAUGAGGUCCUGCUGCACAAUGCGGGGAACCCCAUCCUUUCUCUCGGGUAGAACAUGAUGGAAGACAGGAUGAGAAAAGGAAUGAAUAUAUACCUAUUUCUGGGUCACUUUGCUGCACAGCAGAAAGGGACACAACUGUAAAUCAACUAAGAAUAAAAAUUUUUCAACAAGAGGUUGCAGAGAUAAGAAGUGUGGCCUCACUGUCGGGAGCAACUGAGGCAAACGUGUCUUUUGAGAGCCCCGGAGAAACGCGAGAUGACGAGAAGGUUUUAAUCAUUGUGUCUCAGCUGCAGAGAACCCAGUAGGAGCUGGAAGGGUUCCUGACAAAGGGGUCGCCGGAACUCACCCACUCAGAUGUAAUUAAAGGCAGUGACCGCUACAGGCUAGAACUUGGCGUAAGCAGAUCAGAGCGGUCCGUGUGCCUUCAGAGCAGCCCUCAGAAAGGGAGAGAAACAUUACAGCCCUCAGGUUGGCAUCUGCUCCACCACCAUCAGCUGUGCAACCUUGAAUGCAUGUCCUCACCUCUCUGAGCCUCUUUCUCUACCUGUAAAAUACAGCUAUGUCAUGAAACCGUGGCAUGAAAGUAGAGGAAAUGUGAAAAACACUGAGUAAAUGUCACUUUGUUAGGUCCCCUCCUCACUGAUUUCCCUGAGAGGUAAACUGGGAUGUGUGUAACAAAAUAGCGUAUUGCUCCCAAUUCUUUUUAGAAGAUGAAAUCAACGCCGGAUCCUUAACCCACUGAGCGAGGCCAGGGAUCGAACCUGCAACCUAAUGGUUCCUAGUCGGAUUCGUUAAUCACUGAGCCACAACAGGAACUCCUGAAUUUCAAAUUUUUUUAAACCUCAGAAAGUUAUCUUUGCCCAGAAGACAGUUCUGGUUUGUCUUGUGCUGUCAGGGGCGGAAUGAGAGCAGAAUGUUGAUGCCCAGUGCCCUGUUUGGUCACCAUCGCUGCGUCCUCUGUUUCCCCCCAUGAGCAGGGCAGGGAGGAUUGGCUGGUCAGUCUGGGAGGCAGUGGAGGGAGGGAAGGAGGAGGGUGGGAGGGCUUAUAGAAUAUAACGGUGAAAUUCUGUUUGGCUGUGAGGACAGUUCCUCUGUCAUUCAGAAAACUCUCAGUUAUAUCCUUGCUCGUUUCUUACGAGUCUGGUGAAGUGUGAUGUUCGUUAGUCUGUGGGUGUCACUGCCAUCACGGGGCUCAGAUCUUCUCCCACCUGAGAGUCCAGGCUCAGGUGGUCAAGGGCAUCACCAAGGUGAUUCAAUGCCAACACCUAUAGGUUCUAGCCAGUGGCAGCAGGCAGAUGGGUUCAACUGGGUGUUGCACAUUCUCUAGGCUCAUGCAGUGGGCUACAUCCUACUGCAAGGAAAUUGAAGGGAACCCUCCCUGGGCUGGUGGUAAGAUCUGGGCCAUAGGCUGCCCUGACCUUCAGAUGCCCUCUGUGGGAGACCACCAGUGGCAUGCUGCUUCUUGUUCCCCUCAUCCUCCUAUUCUCCUGGUUCAUCUUCGCUGGCAUCAUGCUCCAGCCGUGCCUGAGUCUCCAUCCCACUCCCCCUCACCUGCAGUUGCCCUUGCCCUCUGUCACCUGUUCCUGCUUCAUCUCUGCUUCCCAUGCUCAGCAUCACCUGCAGGUGCAUCUCCCCACCAUCCCCCGAGCCCUUUCCCCCAGGCCCUGACUUCUCACUGCCCUUGGCCUUGGGAUCCCCUCAAGUGACCUUGGAGCUGGGGGAAGACCUGAUCCUACCACGCCGUAGGAAGAGGCAUCUCUCUUUCCACUGUCCAAGGGUGUGUUCCUGAAGCCCCAAAUGGGACUUUGGGAGGCAUUUCCUACUAAAUCUAUUACAAAUCCAUUGUAGAUGAUUUCUUAUUAUCAUUUAGUACUUUAAAAAUGUGCCUCAGUCAAUUCAACAUCAUGGGUAACAUUUCCAUGAGAAAAAAAAAUGCUUGGAUCUAAACCACUGAUUCAUUGAAGUUGUAGACACUGCUGUUUCUUAAGUCAGGAAGGAGUCUCCUGUGGUAAGGAUUGGAGCAUUUUUGAAACCAAUCACUAUGGCUUUGAUGACUAAGAACUUCCCCCCAGCACUUUCCACGUACUAAACUCCCAGUAACUUGGUAUUAAUGACAGUGACUUGUUACAUUUCCAAAUGCUAUCAAAGCUAGGGAUCUGAAUGCAUGCCAGGUGGUACCCUGGGGCCAGGUGCCCAGUGGCCUUGCAGUGACAAGGGACUAGAUUUAGAAUCAGGAGACUUAGGUCCUGUCACUUACAAGUUCUGGAAAAAGUCUGCACUUCUGCUGGCAUCCAUUUCUACUUUCUCUGUUAUGGGAACCAUCCCUCCUACUACACAAAAUUGAUAGGUGUGAAAAGUGACUCAAUAUAUGAAAAGCAUUUUCAUUUUGUUAUACAAGGUCUUUUUUAAAAUUACUAUUAUGAAUCUCUCAAAAAUAACCAUUUUAAAUUACCUAUAAUCCAGUCCACCCAGAGAAGCAUUUUGAUCCGGAGUUUUUCCCCAUUAAAAUGUAUGCAUGUAAAUGUAUCCUUUAAAAUGAGCUCCUAUUAUAUACAUUAUGGUUAAUAUCUCUCUUUUUAACUCUAUCCGGUGAAGUUAGUGAACAGUGAUCUCCUGGUUGUGAAAUAUUCCACUGUAGUUCUUUGCCAUAGUGUAUUGAAAUAAUAACUUAGCGAGUUAUUGAGGCUAUUUCUAGUUUUACUGUUGUGAAGCAGUGCUCCAGUAGGCAUUCUUAUUUGCAUACCUUUAUAUACCUGCCUUAUUAUGUUAAAGUCAUUUAAUACAUCUUUCUUUCAUAAAGAGUGUAGAGUUCCUUAUCCAAACUAUUAUAGCCAAAUCAGUUUUAUGAUGCAUAUUUUAUAAAAGUAAUAAAGUUUAGAAACUGUAUAGUAAAAAUAUUCCCAGUAAGUUUUGCAUUAGGAGGGGAGGGUAUUUAACAGUUGCAUUCAGUGGGAUUAAACAGACCUUAAACAGCCCACAUCAGAUUUUGCUACAAAAUUAGCUUUCACUACAGAAUCUUUUUUUUUUUUUUCUAUUUUCAGAGCUUUUUGGACUUUUGGAAUUGCAGAAAAGGGACUACCAUGGCACUGGCGAAUUUACACUUCUUUCUAGUGAAGUUGGAUUUUUUCAUGAUUUUUUCGCCUUUUAUGGUAUUCCUUUUGUAAAGGGUAUGCUCUUUGUUUUUAAUUGGGUGAAUAAUAUUUCAUUAUUAGGCUUGACCUUUUUUUUUGCUCCUUAAGAGCUUUUCACAUAUUUGUCGAAUAUUUCACCCCAUAUUUUACAGUCAUAUCUUGCAUUUUUGUCAUUUGUUUUAUACUGUGUUAAUGUUUCACACAUAUAAGCUUAAGGUAAAGUAGGAGAGAAAUGUGAUCCUUUAUGGCACUUGCCGGUGGUAUGUUUGAGAAAACUUUCCUAAUU